rnacentral:rRNA from 1 species
CCUACGGGUGGCAGCAGUGAGGAAUAUUGGUCAAUGGGCGUAAGCCUGAACCAGCCAAGUCGCGUGAGGGAUGAAUGUCCUAUGGAUCGUAAACCUCUUUUAUAAGGGAAUAAAGUGAGGGACGUGUGCCUUUUUGUAUGUACUUUAUGAAUAAGGAUCGGCUAACUCCGUGCCAGCAGCCGCGGUAAUACGGAGGAUCCGAGCGUUAUCCGGAUUUAUUGGGUUUAAAGGGAGCGUAGGUGGCUUUUUAAGUCAGUUGUGAAAGUCUGUGGCUCAACCAUAGAAUUGCCGUUGAUACUGGCAGUCUUGAGUAUGUUUGAGGCAGGCGGAAUGCGUGGUGUAGCGGUGAAAUGCUUAGAUAUCACGCAGAACCCCGAUUGCGAAGGCAGCCUGCCAAGCCAUGACUGACGCUGAUGCACGAAAGCGUGGGGAUCAAACAGGAUUAGAUACCCCAGUAGUC